AAGUCGUAACAAGGUUUCCGUAGGUGAACCUGCGGAAGGAUCAUUAUUGAGUUUUGAACGGGUUGUAGCUGGCCUCUGACGAGGCAUGUGCACGCCUGGCUCAUCCACUCUUAACCUCUGUGCACUUUUUGUAGGAAUGACGGAUAUUGACUUUUGUCAGUGGAAGUCUUUUCUAUGUUUUUAUCACAAACACUCUAGUAACAGAAUGUAACUUUGCAUAUAAUGCAUUAUAUACAACUUUCAGCAACGGAUCUCUUGGCUCUC
rnacentral:misc_RNA from 1 species